AAGAAAGGAAAACCUAGAGUUCCGGGGACUGGCCAAGGACUUGCGUGUGAGGACUUGCGAUGCAUCUCCUUUGAGGGACUUUCAGGAAUUAUGUGGAAGGAGGCAAGAGGUUGGGACCUCAAAUACAAGCCCAAUUAAAAGGAAUGCUAGAAAGGACCCAGACUGAUGCAGCCACCCUUAUCUUGGACAUAUUGUUCUUAUAGUGGAGAGCGGGAACAAUAGAAACAGAGGUAAACCAGAUAAUCACAUCAGAAACUUCUAGUUUGACAUAGGAAACUCACAUCUGGGUGGCCAGAACAUGCUCACAAAUUCCAUAAGGAAGGAAGGUGUAGUCAUCCCUGGAACACAAAGUCACAUGACCAGAAAGAGAGAAAAUAGCUGGGGUCAAUAAUACAAUCUUCUAAGACUCCCAGACGUAUGUCUUUAGCACUGGCUUCUCUUCCUUUUGAGCACCAUACAUAUAUUUAACUGCCUAUCCAACAUUGCUAUUGAGAUGUCCAAUAAGCAUCUCAGAUUUAAUAUGCCUUAAACAAAACUCCUGAGUGCUCCAUUCACCCCUACCUGUUAUACUCUGUCUUCCCCACCUCAAUAAAUACCAUCAGUAUCCUCCCAGGUAAUCAGGAGGAAACCUCCAAGUUUUCUUUGAUUCACUUUUCCCUUUUGUAUCCAAUGCAUGAGUAAAUUCUGCUGGUUCUACCUUCAAUAUACAUCCCGAUUUCUUACCAUCACCAGCACCAUCAUCCUAAUAAUCUCCUAACUUGUCUCCCUGCUUCUAUUCUUGCCUCCCUAGAAUAAAUUCCUCAUACAGAAGACAGAGAGAUCUUUGAAGCAUGCAAACUGUAUCUUGUUAGUCCCUGCCCCAAACCCUGCAAUGUCCUGUCCUACACAGACACUGGGUUUCUAUUCUACAUGGUCAAGUGUCAAGAGUAGGCUCAGAGUGACAGAAAGAUCAGUAUUAGAAAUUUGUACACUUGGGUAAAUCAAAAGAAAUCUACUUCUCUAAAGGAUAGUAAAAGCUCCUGUAGACUACAUAUCAAAUGUAUCAGCAACAUUUUUCUGGACAAGUGGUGAUUGUAAGCUUUUGGAUCUCAAAAUGCUUCAUCAGCUAGCCACAAGGCACAGAUAGUAAUGUCUGAGUGAGUGUCACAUCAGAACAUUUGGAAGCUCAACCAUCUCAUUUUAUGUUCAUUAAAAAAAUUUGUAUAAUUUUAAGGAGUACAAAGUGCAGUUUUGUUACAUGCAUAUAUUGCAUAGUGGUCAAUUCUGGGCUUUCAGUGUAACCAUCAUCCAAAUAAUGUGCAUCGUACCCAUUAAGUAAUUUCUCGUCCCUCACCUCAUUUCCACCCUCCUCACUUUAUAGUCUCCAAUGUGUAUCAUUCCACACUCUAUGUCCAUGUGUCCACAUUAUUUAGUUCCCACUUAAGUGAGAACAAGUGGUAUCUGACUUUCUGUUUCUGUGUAGUUUCAGUUAAGAUAAUGGCCUCCAGUUCCUGCAUGUUCCAUGUUGCUGCCCCCAUCUCUACUACAAAUACAAAAAUUAGCUGGGCGUGGUGGUGCGUGCCUGUAGUAGCAGCUACUUGGGAGGCCGAGGCAAGAAAAUCGCUUGAACCCAGGAGGAGGAGGUUGCAGUGAGCCAGGAUUGCAUCACUGCACUCCAGCCUGGUGACAGAGCGAGACUCCGUCUCAAGCAAACAAACAAAAACGCCAACAACCAUGAUUUCAUUCUUUUUUUAUGCUUUGAAUAGUAUGAGGCUGAAGAGUUCUGUGUGUCUGUUGGUAUGGACUGUGGUUGGAGCCCAACUCUGCUGAGCCAGGUACAUUCAGGGUUAUCCAACAUCUAAGAUCACUAGAGAGAAUACCAUGCCACCAUAGGUUUAGAUGCAAGUACAGCCCUCAGUUGACACCCUAUCUUCCCCAGACUGAUAGAGCCUGAUCCAAGUGAUUCCUGAAUGCAGUCAUGUAGAUCUAGGCUCUGUUAUCCAGGAGUCCCUGAGAGUCAUGCUAACUGGCCUUCAGUGUGGUUCUAGUCCUCUCCUGCAGUUCUCCAGCAUACUUCAAAUAAAAUUCAAAGUCCUGAAACUGUUUUUAAGGCCCAAGAUAAUCUGGUUACUGCCUAAUUUAUUUCUUCUGCUGUGGCUACAUUGGCUUCUUACUGGUCCUAGAAGAUGCCAAGCUCAUUUCUGCUUCAGAAAUUGCACACGUAUGGUCCCUUGGAUGGCUGCUCUUCAUAAAUCCCUCAGAUGCAUUCUCUCACCAUUUCAUUCAGGUCUCUAUCCACAUGUCACCUCUCAACAAGCACUUUUGGUCACUCAGUCCAAAAUAGCUCCUGCUCACAUUCAUAUCACUUUAUAUUGCCUUUUUGUAUCUAUAAUACUGACCACUCAUCACUUGACAUAAUAUGUUUAUUUGUUUACUCUUUGUCUUCCCCACUAGGACAUAAAAUCCACGAGGGCAAGCACUUUGGCUGUAUUGGUUCCUUAUGUAUUCCCAUCAAUCGGAACAGCACUUAAAGAAUUAACAAUGCUUAAUAAAUAUUUGUAG